AGUUACCUGAAAUGUGCGAUACCUCUUGUUAUUUUUGAACCUACAUUUCUUUUAACGGGAUUCCUACAUUGCCGAGCGGCUGUCAAGCCUUCCCUCGAAAGAGGAAUGCAGAGGAAGACAAAAGUUCGGUUGCGGUUGCCCACCUAGCAUUUGCUAGGAGUCAAAAGACAAGAGCCGGCAUUUCGGGAUGUUU
rnacentral:other from 1 species